rnacentral:sRNA from 1 species
CUCAUUUUGCAUUGAUUUUAACCAUUCAGUAGAAUCCUCUAAUAGUAAAGAAAUUUGGCUCAUUCUAUUCAAAAUUCUAUUCCAUUCAGCAAACAUUUGCUAGGAAGCCACUGUGUUCCACGUGCUCUAUGCUGAGAGAGCACUUGGCAGCUUUUUGAAAUUGUCUUUACAACUGAUCUAGGGAAUUUUAUACUGGCUUUCCAAAGAAGUAUGAAAUAUUUAUACAUCUUUGGAAAUAUCUGACAGGUAGGCGCCUUCAAUAAGUAAAAAAUAAGUAUCACCAACAAUCUUUUAUAUGUCCAGGCAUCCUCUGCUUGCCCUGACUCUGUAAUUAUUGUGCAGAUUUGAAUAUACUGAGGAAGUGAUAACAAUAGGAGAAAGGAUGUUAAAUAUUGUUAAAUACUUUUCAGUGAAGAAGCACAUUACCAAUAGUAUCUAUUGUGUUUUCUAUAUGUUGAUAGUGACCCAGCCUAUCCAAACCACAAUUUUUCAAAUUCAUUUAAAUUGCUUAAAAUAUUAUAAAUAUUUUGCUAUACUGGGUUUUAGAACAAGCUUACAGGACAGUAGAGCUCUGUGAUCCUAAAGUUGUAAAAUUUUAUCCUGAUUCUUAAGACAAUAUGUCUUAAGACAACAUGUCUUAAGAAUUGGUCAAAGUGAUGCCUUAUUUGAUGCCAUGUCCUUGGCCAGAUAUUGGAUUCCCGCUUGUAAUAGUGCACUCUGCAGAGAGCUGUAAUUUACUGUGUGAUAAUCCUUUUAUCGAAAAUUCCUGUACACAUACUAUAAUGAGAAGAGGGAAUUAUAUCUACUCUUCUUAUAAGAAUGCCUAUAAGACACUUCCAUACUGAUAUCUUACCAUUAUUUAAAUAGAGUUCCCAAAAUUAAUUUAUCAUCCAGUCUCACAAUACAGUUCAUUCUCCCAGCUGCCUUAUUUCUGCAUCAUGAGUACAAUAUAAAUGUUCAUUCUUUUGGUUACCCACACUCUUCAUUUUAUCAUUCCUCCUUAGUCUGUCUAAUUCCAAUGCUUUCUUCUUUUAAAAUGUCUUAGAUAUGUGCUUUACUCUUUGAUGUGCCUUUCAGUAUCUAAACUCAAACUUUAAAAAAUCUUACCUUGAUUACUGAAACAGCCACUUAACUGUUAUUGUCUCCAGCUUUUCUCCACUGCAGUUCAUUCUGUCUACUGUUGGCAGGUCAAUCUUCCAACUCUUCUCUUCAUUUCUCUGAAUAUUGGAUACAUAAUAGGGGGAAAGUGGUCCUGGUCAGGGGAAUACAAUUAAUAAAGAUAUCAUGAUUUGAGUCUAGAGCAACACAUGAAAGGUUGAGGAGGUUGAUUAGUCAGAAACCAUGGGUGUGUCUGUGGAGAGUGACACUGGAGAGGUGGACUAGUGGUAACGACACUGUCUAGCUAAGCAAAUUUAGCAAAGGAGUUAGAGCUUUAUCCUGAAAAAUUUUAAGCUGAGAGGUGACUUUUUAAAAAUUAUAAGCCUUUAGAAGGCGUGAUCUUUUUAUUUUCCUUUAUAUGGCCAGCACCUAGCACAAUUUUUGGUUCUUAGAAGUUCAAUAAAUGUUUCUUAGAUAAAUAAAUGACUCAAAGAUUUUCAUUUUCAAAUUUUUUUCUGGCCACAGUUGGAGCACUGAUUGAAAGGUAGUGGCACUAAACCCGGUAGACCCAGUACAUAUACUUGUCAGAUGAGAAAGCAUGAGAAUGAGCCAUGGCAGUGUCUUUUUUGCAAUUGAAAAGAGGGAAAUAAACAGCACAUUUUAAAAAAUAGGUAUCUUAUUAUAAUGAGAUUACUUGUAUUAUUAACCUAAUGUACUUUUGGGGAAUUUUUAUAAGGUUUUUAUUUUAAAUAUUUUAUGUUUUCCUUAUUCUACGAACAUUCUUUUGCUUAUUUUUUAACACUUAUAAAGUAUUAGUAAUUUAUUGCUAAGAAAGAUAUUUUAAGAAAAUUAAGUCUAAAUUUUUUUUUAAUGUAGGAUAUUCCAGAAGAUAUUCUUAAGAAUUUAGUAGAGGAGCUUCCUCAACCACGAAAAAUACCUAAACGUCUAGAUGAGUACACACAAGAAGAGAUAGACGCCUUCCCAAGAUUGUGGACUCCACCUGAAGAUUAUCGGCUAUAAGAGAAUAAGAAUUGCAGAAAAUAACAGUGAAGUGAUUGAAACUUUCUUCUGAUGAGUUUCUCUAACCUACAGGAUGGAGUAAAACAACUGCUACAGUUCAGCACCUGUUUUAUGUGCUGAAUCACUGUGGGGAAAGGUCAGGAAGGUAUAGUCCUUCAAUAGGAAAUUGUAAUUAAAAUAUAAUUUUAUAGAACCAUUUUUAUGUAAUCUGAUUUGAAUGUUAUAGUUGAUAAUAAUAAAAUCACUUACUUGGUUG